GGGGAUUUAGCUCAGUGGUAGAGCACUUGCCUAGCAAGCGCAAGACCCUCAGUUCAGUCCUCAGAUCCCCCC
rfam:Rattus norvegicus chromosome 10, whole genome shotgun sequence.